UACGAAGGGGGCUAGCGUUGUUCGGAAUUACUGGGCGUAAAGCGCACGUAGGCGGAUAUUUAAGUCAGGGGUGAAAUCCCAGAGCUCAACUCUGGAACUGCCUUUGAUACUGGGUAUCUUGAGUAUGGAAGAGGUAAGUGGAAUUGCGAGUGUAGAGGUGAAAUUCGUAGAUAUUACGCAGGAACACCGGUGGCGAAGGCG
rnacentral:rRNA from 1 species